CAGAUAUGUCUCCAGGGAGGACUUCUCCAGCUCCUACCUUGGAUGCUGCACCCAAUCCCAGCUCCCAUGGCAGGGGUCCUCCACCAGAAGAGACCAAAGGCAUGGCAGACAAGAAAUUCCAGAACCCAUUUGAAAUCAUGUGGCAAAUGCUGAAGGAAAUGCUGCAGAGAAGACAAGAAUUGGAUUUUGAGCCUGUGCAGAAGGAAGCAUUUGCCGGAGGAAGCAGUGGUUCUGUGCCAGCCUCUGCUGCAGGAAGAGAGGCCAUGCCAGGCACAGGCACAGGAGCUGAACCUGCCGGUGAAGGCCCCACAUCCAAGACUGAGCCUCUGGGAGAUGCUGAGGGUAGGUC